rnacentral:piRNA from 1 species
UAUGCCUGGGCAGGGCGAAGCCAGAGGAAACUCUGGUGGA